GAUGAACGCUGGCGGCGUGCUUAACACAUGCAAGUCGAACGAUGAAGCCCAGCUUGCUGGGUGGAUUAGUGGCGAACGGGUGAGUAACACGUGAGUAACCUGCCCUUAACUCUGGGAUAAGCCUGGGAAACUGGGUCUAAUACCGGAUAGGAGCGUCCACCGCAUGGUGGGUGUUGGAAAGAUUUAUCGGUUUUGGAUGGACUCGCGGCCUAUCAGCUUGUUGGUGAGGUAAUGGCUCACCAAGGCGACGACGGGUAGCCGGCCUGAGAGGGUGACCGGCCACACUGGGACUGAGACACGGCCCAGACUCCUACGGGAGGCAGCAGUGGGGAAUAUUGCACAAUGGGCGAAAGCCUGAUGCAGCGACGCCGCGUGAGGGAUGACGGCCUUCGGGUUGUAAACCUCUUUCAGUAGGGAAGAAGCGAAAGUGACGGUAUCUGCAGAAGAAGCACCGGCUAACUACGUG
rnacentral:rRNA from 1 species